CCUACGGGUGGCAGCAGUGGGGAAUAUUGCACAAUGGGGGAAACCCUGAUGCAGCGACGCAGCGUGAGUGAUGAAGUCCUUCGUGAUGUAAAGCUCUAUUAGCAGGGAAGAAAAUGUCGGUACCUGAGUAAUAAGCCCCGGCUAACUACGUGCCAGAAGCCGCGGUAAUACGUAGGGUGCAAGCGUUAUCCGGAUUUACUGGGUGUAAAGGGAGCGUAGACGGCUGGGCAAGACUGGAGUGAAAGGUGGCGGCUCAACCCCAGGACUGCACUUGAUACUGGAAGGCUGGAGUGCAGUAGAGGUAAGCGGAAUUCCUAGUGUAGCGGUGAAAUGCGUAGAUAUCAGGAAGAACACCAAUUGCGAAGGCAGCUUACUGGACUGUAACUGACGUUGAGGCUCGAAAGCGUGGGGAGCAAACAGGAUUAGAUACCCUUGUAGUC
rnacentral:rRNA from 1 species